GUGGGCAAUAUUGGGCAAUGGGCGCAAGCCUGACCCAGCAACGCCGCGUGAAGGAAGAAGGCUUUCGGGUUGUAAACUUCUUUUACCAGGGACGAAACAAAUGACGGUACCUGGUGAAUAAGCCACGGCUAACUACGUGCCAGCAGCCGCGGUAAUACGUAGGUGGCGAGCGUUAUCCGGAUUUAUUGGGUGUAAAGGGCGUGUAGGCGGGACAGCAAGUCAGAUGUGAAAACCAGAGGCUCAACCUCUGGCCUGCAUUUGAAACUGUUGUUCUUGAGUGUCGGAGAGGUAAUCGGAAUUCCGUGUGUAGCGGUGAAAUGCGUAGAUAUACGGAGGAACACCAGUGGCGAAGGCGGAUUACUGGACGAUAACUGACGCUGAGGCGCGAAAGCGUGGGGAGCAAACAGGAUUAGAAACCCCGGUAGUCC
rnacentral:rRNA from 1 species